UAUCGUAUCAAAAAACCCAUAAAACAAAAUACCAGACUCCCCAAAGAUUAACUUUCACACACUCUACCUUAUAAAGGUCCUAAUUCAUGAUUCUGUGCUGCUCUCUACUUUUUUUUUUGUUCUUUUUUGUAUUGUCCUAUCAUCUGUUCUGAUAUUUUCUUUUAGUCCCUCCUUAUGUAAAUAUUCAACCACAGCUUCUUCAUCUAUACAUUGUAAACCGAGUUGAGACCCAAGUUUUCAGGUUCUUCUUGCUUCCUUCUCUAAGUAAUCUAUAUCACUUUCAUCAUUUUGCUCCUGAGUCAUCAUUUUUCCUCUCUCUCGGAUUCUUGCACGGUUUCAUUCCUCCUUGUUUGGUGAUUUCCCUUGUUUCUUGGUUAUAUUUUUUCUUCUUAUUGAAUGUUAGCUCGCUACCCUUUUUUGUGUGACCUCCUAUUUUUCUUACCUAUGUUUUAAUUCAAUCUUAAUUUUUUUUAUUUUCUUCCUUUUUUGAGCAUGUUUUCCUCACUUUUUUUCUCCUUUUUAUUACUGGAUCUUUUACUUAUCUUUGAUUAUCCCAACCCAUUUUGUGCCAAACUUUCCUCAAUCAUAUUUUUGAAGUCAGAUGAAUACAGUGGUCCUAGAAAAAGAUCCAGUUUCUUUGUUAUCAUUUAGUUCCAGAAAUUCAGGUUUAUUUUUACCUUCUUGUAAGUCCAACUGUGUUUGUAUUACUUUUUUAGAAUUUCUAUCAUCAUGGAUGCAUUUGGUUGUUGAGAAUGAAUCUUCAUUGGAAGCUAAUCUCUCCAUUUAUGCAGGUCCAGGUGCUUUGAAGUUAGCUGUGGUUCAUCUGAGAGAUGGCGAAGAUCUUUAUAUUCUCUACUUUAUAUUUUGCUUAGAAUCUCUCCACCUUUAUUUUGAAAAGCUUAUAUUAUGUAUUGAACUCUUUUGAACUUGCCUAUAGAGGCUUUCAUGUUUCAUUUGGGAGAGAUUAGGAGGUACUGUUGUCAUAUACUUUUAUAAUGUAUCCUAGCCGGCCUAAACUUCGCGGGUCGUGACUAGUGGCUAUUUACUUAUGUUAUAUAUCUAUAUACUGUCCUUCU